ensembl:ncRNA R01E6.11 ncRNA
AAGAAGAGAGGAAAUGAUAAAGCACACAGAUCACGUAUCUGUUCUCUGAUGAGCUCCUGUCAAAGGUGGGCUUGUGUCGAAAAGUGAUGAAGUCGAGACAAAAGUGAGAAAAAGUCGGAUGGAGAAUGAGGCAUGAAAAGAAGAUAUCAA